AUGCGGAACACCAGCUGUGGGAGCAGCCACCCAUCUCUUCUGUAAGCCCUUUGCCCUCGGGCCUCUCGUAGCUUCUCAACCUACGAAGAUUACUUCUAAAGGCGGCUUUUCAACCUUAAUUCCUUUGCUGGAGGACCUACUGUGUUCCUCACAUGUAUUACAUUUCGGGUAACCCUCACAGCAAUGCAGAAAAGCAGGUGUUAAAGUUAGCUCCAUCUGGAGAAUGACGGCUUCCCCAGACAGUGACACCAUCUCACUGAGGCGGAAUUCAAAACCCGAUCCACUGUCUUCAACAGCUUGAGCAGCACCUGGUUUAACAUGGCUGACUACACGGAGAGAAUCACUAUUUCACUGGACAUUUUCCAAAGUUACAAACCAUGAGGGCAUCCUACAGUCUCAACUGGAGUCUGGGCUGGCCCGGGACUAACAUGGCCCCUGCACGCAGAGUUGGGAUUAAAGGAGUGCACCACACCAGGUCAUAAUCUAAGAGUAAAACAGGCAGGAAGUUCCUAGCAGGAGUCCGUCUCAAAAGACCACAGCUGUCCCAGAAUCAUUACACCAAAAGGAAACAGGAGGCUCCAGUCGUAUUUUUUUUAAAAAUCCUUUCUAAAAAUCGCCUGCUCCUCUCUUCCCGUAUACUCUUUUACUGCACGGUCCCUGACAGCCAUUAUUGUCGAAAAGAACUAAGAUCAGAUGGCAACUUCGACGUCGAAACACCCGUCAUUUUCAAGGAAAACGCCGCGUGUGGCCGAGGUGAGCAGGAGUGCACCUGAGCACUCAAGAAUUUAGCGACCCGCCCCUUAAUUGCUACUUUUUUCAACACUUUCACCAGGUUGCCUUGGCUGUGGGCGGAAAACGCCUUUGAGCCCCUAACUGAAGUUGGCUGCUUUCGCUUUACGAGCUGUGUUAUUUGGAGAAAGCGCUCGACUUCAGGAGGAAAAAAAAAAAACUUGUUUUCUUCGACGGUAAAAAAAAAAAAAUUAAACAUUCAG